ACUUGAAUAGCUUAUUUAGAGCAUAACAUUGAAGAUGUUGAGGAAAUUAUUUAAUUUUUAAGUA
rnacentral:tRNA from 1 species